rnacentral:rRNA from 1 species
UACCCGCAGCUCAAGUGGUGGUCAUUAUUAUUGGGCCUAAAGCGUCCAUAGCAGGCUUGUUAGAUGCCUGGGUAAAUCGAUGCGCUUAACGCAUCGAAUUCCGGGUAGACCGGCAAGCUCGAGACCGGGAGAGGCGUGAGCUACUCGAGGGGUAGGGGUAAAAUCCUGUAAUCCUUCGGGGAGGACCAGUGGCGAAGGCGUCACGCUAGAACGGCUCUGACUGUGAGGGACGAAGCCCUGGGGCGCAAACCGG